GGAGCAGGCUAGACAGUCGCUGCCAUACUUUUAGGGUAUGGGGGAGGAAAGUCCGGGCUCCAUAGGGCAGGAUGCCGGUUAACGACCGGGCGUUGCAAGGCGACGGAAAGUGCAACAGAGAGCUGAACCGCCGAUGGCCCAAGUUAAAAGCCUUUAUUGAUACAAGGCCGGAUUGGGAUCAGGUAAGGGUGAAAAGGUGUUCCCGUCAGGGAUGCAGGCCGCAAGGUUUGUCGGUAAGAGCGCACCGCGGACGUGGUAACACGGACGGCAGGGUAAACCCCAUCCGGAGCAAGACCAAGCAGUAGACGUUGAGGUGGCCCGCCGAGUCUACGGGUAGGUUGCACGAGCCCAGUAGCAAUGCUGGGCCUAGAGGAAUGACUGUCACCUUGGGGUAACUCAAGGCUACAAAACCCGGCUUAUCGGCCGGCUCCGCAA
rfam:Janthinobacterium sp. B9-8, complete genome.